rnacentral:rRNA from 1 species
CGUGUAGGCGGCCCUGCGAGUCGGGUGUGAAAUCCCAUGGCUCAACCAUGGAAGUGCAUUCGAAACUGCAGGGCUAGAGUCCCGGAGAGGAAGGUGGAAUGCUUGGUGUAGAGGUGAAAUUCGUAGAUAUCAAGCGGAACACCGGUGGCGAAGGCGGCCUUCUGGACAGUGACUGACGCUGAGACGCGAAGCGUGGGAGCAAACA